GGAACACGUGGCCAAACAGGAUCUAACCCAGAGUUUAGUAGAGUACAGUAAACCUCCACAGGGAACAAUACUCUGAGGAGGAAAGGAACCAUGCCUCAACAUUAUAAUAAUUUUAUUCUCCUUCCAAAUGAGCAACAAAACAUCUGCUUCUCAUAAUAAGUAGGGAGAUACGGGAUUAGUAGGGACAUACGUACACAAGCACGUACACGCGUACGGACACGAACACGCACAUGCAAGGAUGCACACGCACACACAGGCACGCACACACACCCCUGCACAGUCAGCGUCAAGGGAGAGGAAGAAACGCUGACAAGAAUAACAGAUAAGAACUGAAUUCAGGUCUUCAUAAUGGAGAAAACAUAGUGAUGCAUUUGGGCUGCUAUGUGAUUAUAACAGAUAAGAACUGAACUCAGGUCUGUUUUCAUAAUGGAGAAAAUAUGGUGUGGUGUUUGGGCUGCUAUGUGAUUAUAACAGAUAAGAACUGAACUCAGGUCUGUUUCCAUAAUGGAGAAAAUAUGGUGUGGCGUUUGGGCUGCUAUGUGAUUGUUGUUAUUUCUGGCUCCAGACUUUAUUAAUAAAUGAACUGAGACAGAUGUUCAACACUUGUCAUGCUGUUGUUGUGGUCCAUGUGUCUCUCUUCCUGUUAAGAAGUGAUUUCCUUCUCCUGUUUCAGCUGAGGAAACAGAAACGAAACGGCACGUUACAAUAACACGUCAUUCACAGGUCAUUUAGAAAACAAAUGACUUUAGAGUCUAAAUGAAAACUGGAAUACGUGGGAACCCCUCUGCAAGACAAAACAUCUCACGGCAUAUCAUGCUCAGAUUGGUGUGUGUGUGUGUGUGUGUGUGUGUGUGUGUGUGUGUGUGUGUGUGUGUGUGUGUGUGUGUGUGUGUGUGUGUGUGUGUGUGUGCGUGCCUGCAUGCUUGUGUGUGUGAGUGUGGGUAUGUGUGUCUGCCAGUGUACUGUAUGUGUGUCUGUGUGUGAUUGUGUGAGUGUGGGUAUGUUUGUCUGUCAGUGUGUGUGUGUGUGUGUGUGUGUGUGUGUGUGUGUGUGUGUGUGUGUGUGUGUGUGUGUGUGUGUGUGUGUGUGUGUGUGUGUGUGUGUGAUUGUGUAAGUGUGGGUAUGUUUGUCUGCCUGUGUACUGUAUGUGUGAGUGUGUGUGUGUAUGUGUGUGCCUGUGUGUGUGUUGCAUCACCCUAAUUCUACUCCAUAGCGACUCCCUUCAUAGCAUGUCUCCUGUACCCUGAUAGAAUGUAGGCCAGGCCAGGGACCAGGCUCUGUGUGUACAGAGUCAUAAUGAUAUGCCUCUAGGGAGGAGAGAGCAGAACAGAGUCACUCAAGUGGAACAAAUACACACUGACCCUGUUACACAAUGUGGUCACUUUCCCAUAAUGCACAAGCCAUGACAGAAGGGUGGGAAUCCGAUGAUCAACCUAUAUGUAAACAAUGCUGGCUCGCCGGCUUCUACAUAUAGUUUGCUGAGUUUCCAGGUUGCCCUAGUUGUUUCCAGGUUGCCCUAGUUGUUUCCAGGUUGCCCUAGAUGUUUCCAGGUUGCCCUAGAUGUUUCCAGGUUGCCCUAGAUGUUUCCAGGUUACCCUAGAUGUCUCCAGGUUACCCUAGUUGUUUCCAGGUUGCCCUAGAUGUUUCCAGGUUACCCUAGAUGUUUCCAGGUUACCCUAGAUGUUUCCAGGUUACCCUAGAUGUUUCCAGGUUACCCUAGAUGUUUCCAGGUUACCCUAGAUGUUUCCAGGUUACCCUAAUUGUUUCCAGGUUGUCCUAGAUGUUUCCAGGUUGCCCUAGAUGUUUCCAGGUUGCCCUAGAUGUU